rnacentral:lncRNA from 1 species
UCCUACAUCUGGGGACUGCUCCAGAAACCCUGCCUGAUCCUGCCCCCUCUCACUGACAGUCUCCUCGCUGCUCCCUACAUCUUCCUCUCCGCCGGAGCUGUCCAGAAGGGGGAUUUUGGACCCAAAGGAAUCGGGAUGAAAGGGGAUCAGAGUGAGAGGCGCUGGCAAUGGACUAGGAAGCUCGGCUGCCGCUGCUACUGCUCCCCCCUGGACUCCGGCGAGAGCCUUUCACUGUCAAGCAAGAGGGGUGAGGAUCAUAUUUUUAUUUUGGAAACUAAAAAGUGCUCCCAGGGUCGGUGAUUAUUAAGGGGAAAUCCCUGAAUAUACUCUCCAGCCAAGAAGGCAGGGCUGCCGGGGCUGUACAAGAAGAGGCAGCAGCCUCCUACAGCACCACUACAGGCACUGCGAGGACAUAACACCAGAGAGCUGCUCCUCUGCCCUUCGAAACGACAACUUUCCUACCAUCUUGGAGGCAGAGCAAAGGGGGGCCAGGGGGAAAAGUGCACCCGCUCCCGAUAAAGUACAAAUUUUUACUUCUCAUCUCUGGAAAAAAGUCCACACCGGCCGUCUACACCGGCGCCUGGGGGAGAAAGCAGGGAAGAAACGGGGGGUGCAUGAGAAACGUUUUCAUUUGCUCCAGGGGGAAAAAUGUUUCUGCAUCUUCUGAUGGAAAAGAAAUCUUUACAAGACACAGGUUUUCCGGUGAUUAUUGUUUUCUAUUUUCUAUUUUUAAAUUUUUUCAUGUUAGUGACAG